UGGGGAAUUUUCCGCAAUGGGGGGAACCCUGACGGAGCAACGCCGCGUGCGGGAGGACGGCCUGUGGGUUGUAAACCGCUUUUCUCUGGGAAGAAGCUCUGACGGUACCAGAGGAAUCAGCAUCGGCUAACUCCGUGCCAGCAGCCGCGGUAAUACGGAGGGGGCAAGCGUUGUUCGGAAUUACUGGGCGUAAAGGGCGCGUAGGCGGUCUGUCGCGUCAGGUGUGAAAGCCCCGGGCUCAACCUGGGAGGUGCACUUGAUACGGGCGGGCUAGAAUCCGGGAGAGGAUGGUGGAAUUCCCAGUGUAGAGGUGAAAUUCGUAGAUAUUGGGAAGAACACCGAUGGCGAAGGCAGCCAUCUGGCCCGGGAUUGACGCUGAGGCGCGAAAGCGUGGGGAGCAAACAGGAUUAGAUACCCCUGUAGUCC
rnacentral:rRNA from 1 species